AUUGAACGCUGGCGGCAUGCCUUACACAUGCAAGUCGAACGGUAACAGGUCUUCGGAUGCUGACGAGUGGCGAACGGGUGAGUAAUACAUCGGAACGUGCCUAGUAGUGGGGGAUAACUACUCGAAAGAGUGGCUAAUACCGCAUGAGAUCUACGGAUGAAAGCAGGGGAUCGCAAGACCUUGUGCUACUAGAGCGGCCGAUGGCAGAUUAGGUAGUUGGUGGGAUAAAAGCUUACCAAGCCGACGAUCUGUAGCUGGUCUGAGAGGACGAUCAGCCACACUGGGACUGGGACACGGACCAGACUCCGACGGGAGGCAGCAGUGGGGAAUUUUGGACAAUGGGCGCAAGCCUGAUUCAGCAAUGCCGCGUGCAGGAUGAAGGCCUUCGGGUUGUAAACUGCUUUUGUACGGAACGAAAAGCCCUGGGUUAAUACCCUGGGGUCAUGACGGUACCGUAAGAAUAAGCACCGGCUAACUACGUGCCAGCCGCCGCGGUAACAC
rnacentral:rRNA from 1 species